UAGAUAGAGGCGCAGCCAAGAUGAGUAACCUGUCCCAAGGUCGGCCGGACCGCUUGAGGGAUUUGCGAAAGGUGCGGCUGCCGAAGAGCGGGUACGGCAUCCCCGCCUCUGGUCCGCCGGUGAAGAACCUGCGGAUUGUCAUCAAGGCUUUUGAUGGAGCGCUAUCGG
rnacentral:ncRNA from 1 species